GAAGGCUUUCCGUAGGUGACCUGCGGAGGUCAUUA
rnacentral:rRNA from 1 species